AGUCGAGGGGCAGCAUGAUUUGUAGCAAUACAGAUUGAUGGCGACCGGCUCACGGGUGAGUAACGCGUAUGCAACUUACCUAUCAGAGGGGGAUAGCCCGGCGAAAGUCGGAUUAAUACCCCAUAAAACAGGGGUCCCGCAUGGGAAUAUUUGUUAAAGAUUCAUCGCUGAUAGAUAGGCAUGCGUUCCAUUAGGCAGUUGGCGGGGUAACGGCCCACCAAACCGACGAUGGAUAGGGGUUCUGAGAGGAAGGUCCCCCACAUUGGUACUGAGACACGGACCAAACUCCUACGGGAGGCAGCAGUGAGGAAUAUUGGUCAAUGGCCGAGAGGCUGAACCAGCCAAGUCGCGUGAAGGAAGAAGGAUCUAUGGUUUGUAAACUUCUUUUAUAGGGGAAUAAAGUGGAGGACGUGUCCUUUUUUUGUAUGUACCCUAUGAAUAAGCAUCGGCUAACUCCGUGCCAGCAGCCGCGGUAAUACGGAGGAUGCGAGCGUUAUCCGGAUUUAUUGGGUUUAAAGGGUGCGUAGGUGGUGAUUUAAGUCAGCGGUGAAAGUUUGUGGCUCAACCAUAAAAUUGCCGUUGAAACUGGGUUACUUGAGUGUGUUUGAGGUAGGCGGAAUGCGUGGUGUAGCGGUGAAAUGCAUAGAUAUCACGCAGAACUCCGAUUGCGAAGGCAGCUUACUAAAC
rnacentral:rRNA from 1 species